CGCCCCCUAAGGGAAGGGGCCGUAGGCUGAGGGCGACGGAAGUCGACGUCACUCGCGGUCACCAUGUUGGUUGAGGGCAAAGCGACGGCUCAGGAGGCCUUCUUCGAUGAGGGUGCAAGGCUUUCCGGUGGUCUGGUAGAUUUCUGAAGUCAGAAGGAUUAGAAAGAGUGUUUGUUUAUUGGCCUCCUAAAACUCCAGCAGUGGUUGCUAUUGUUACCAUCCCUAUCUUAAAGGAAACAGAAGCAUAGCGAGGUUCUGCAAUGUUCCACAGGGCUGCCCCCUUUCUGCCCUUGUGCAAAAAUGAGCAAGAGGAGAUAAUGUGUUCUCGUGACCAACCUUUCAAUGCUUGGACCCCACUUGCCUUGGGAUGCUGUCAAAACCAGACAGACCUGCAUAUGGAAUGCUGCUCAGUAUGCCCACGCAACCUGACAAACAGCCUCAGGAUACUCUCUGGCCAGCAGUGUCCAGUUAACUCCUCAUCCUCCAAAGCUCCAUUCAAGAGCAACUUUGUCCAGAAUUCAUUCACUGGUCUCUCCCAUGAGCCAAAUCUCCUUGCCAUAGUCUCUGGGGCACUGUGGCCCUCACUCAUGGCAGCAGGGCCAUUUUUAUGUGUGCUCGUGUGACAUGAUCAAUUCAGGUCCAUCUCCACCAUCAGACCAUGGGGGCCGUGACUGGAGGCUGGAUUGAGCUUGAAUGAAAAGCAGGCCUGCAUGCAACCCUCCAUGGCUGGAUUACCCUGAGGCCUGGAGCUCCCAGAGAUAAAUGAGGCCAAAUCUUCCAGAAUGUGGUGGAACAAUUACAGAUUUUGUCUUUUCUUUUAAAUACAAUGAGAAAAAAAUAAAGUCUUGCCAGGUUUUGAAUCA